CCCUCUCCUCCUCUCUGUUUACGCCGCCUCUCUCAAAGCCCACCCCCAACACAAAUCAUGGCCGGUGAUGUCGAUGAUCAUCAGCAAGACACUCAGCAUCAUGAUAUCUUCUCUCAAACAUAAGUAGUGUGGUAGAUAGCUGAUCCGUUUUUUUUUUAAACACCGGCGGAUAACAGAGAUAGAGGAAAUCUCAAUGCCCUUUGAAACUUAUCAGAUACAAAAUCACAGCGCCAAGUUCUUGGUCGAUCUUAUUGAGAUUUAAAGAGAAUUGGUAUAUCCUCCCCAGAAACAUACGACAAAAAUGUUUUGGCUAAAAUUUUGAAAAACCAAGCACUGCUGUUGGUUGAUGCUCAAAAAUGUUGAACUAUACCUUUUGAUAAGAUAAUAUGGGUGGGAUCAACUGAGCUUCCUGGAAACUGAGAAUACCAGGAUGCUUAAACUAAGGUUAUCUGGUUGUUACUACUUUGUGGAAAACUGAGAAUGGACUCUAGCUAGUAAACAGAAAACUAGCGUUUUUUGGAAAAUGGGUUGCAGCGGCUAAGCACCCUGUAGAAGAUGAUGAGGCAAAAAAAUCGGAUUCAAACCUACUACUUCUACUACUUCUAUUACAGAUGUGAUUUCUUGGCUGAUGAAGAGCAGGGACUCUGAUACAAAAAACUGGGUCAUAUACCAAAAGAGCCCAAUGAAAAUUCCACUCCUCUUUGCGAAGUUGAGAAGCUUCAAGCGCAUAACCAAAUGGAGACAGCACAGCUAUCUAGCUACCGCUUAUCCUCCAGCUGAGAAUGGACAUUCACCCUUGUAGAGCAUAAAACUAAUAUUAACAAGCCAUUUAGCUAUGUUCUGGCACUUCAAGACAUUUCGUAACAAUAUUAAACUUUAAUUCCGUGCAUGUUAAUAUAAGUUUUUAUGCAAUAAUUAUAAUUAUCUGUGAUUCUGAUUGGUUCUUGUCCAAUAAGAUUUCCUUGUAAUUGAACAACUCUCUAACUAGUUCAUUUGAGUCACUUGAACUAGUUAUGGUGA